CCUACGGGUGACAGCAGUGAGGAAUAUUGGUCAAUGGGCGAGAGCCUGAACCAGCCAAGUCGCGUGAAGGAUGACGGCCCUACGGGUUGUAAACUUCUUUUGUCAGGGAGCAAUUGGGUCCACGCGUGGGCUUAGCGAGAGUACCUUAAGAAAAAGCAUCGGCUAACUCCGUGCCAGCAGCCGCGGUACUACGGAGGAUGCGAGCGUUAUCCGGAUUUGUUGGGGUUAAAGGGUGCGUAGGCGGAAUAUAAAGUAAGCGUGAAAAAUUCGGGGCUAAACCCCGUCGUGCCGUUGAAACUGUUGUUCUGGAGUGGGCGAGAGGUAGGUGGAAUGCGUGGUGUAGCGGUGAAAUGCGUAGAUAUCACGCAGAA
rnacentral:rRNA from 1 species